rnacentral:rRNA from 1 species
UUACAUUUGAGUGAGUGGCGAACUGGUGAGUAACACGUGGGAAACCUGCCCAGAAGCGGGGGAUAACACCUGGAAACAGAUGCUAAUACCGCAUAACAACUUGGACCGCAUGGUCCGAGUUUGAAAGAUGGCUUCGGCUAUCACUUUUGGAUGGCCCGCGGCGUAUUAGCUAGAUGGUGGGAACGGCUCACCAUGGCAAUGAUACGUAGCCGACCUGAGAGGGUAAUCGGCCACAUUGGG